UAAGUGAGUUGAUGGUGUUCAGCCCCAGGGACAAGUUUGUUUGCCUGUCUGUGAUUGGCGUUCAGCACCAAGGACAGGUGUACUGUGUA
rnacentral:pre_miRNA from 1 species